AAGUCCGACGAUACAGGGUGAUAGUCCCGUAGUUGACGACGUGUGUUCAGUGAAAUCGAGUAGGGCGGGACACGUGAUAUCCUGUCUGAAUAUGGGGGGACCAUCCUCCAAGGCUAAAUACUACUGACUGACCGAUAGUGAACCAGUACCGUGAGGGAAAGGCGAAAAGAACCCCUGUGAGGGGAGUGAAAUAGAACCUGAAACCGUGUACGUACAAGCAGUAGGAGCACCUUCGUGGUGUGACUGCGUACCUUUUGUAUAAUGGGUCAGCGACUUAUAUUCAGUGGCAAGGUUAACCAUCUAGGGGAGCCGUAGGGAAACCGAGUCUUAACUGGGCGUUCAGUCUCUGGAUAUAGACCCGAAACCAGGUGAUCUAGCCAUGGGCAGGUUGAAGGUUGAGUAACAUCAACUGGAGGACCGAACCGACUAAUGUUGAAAAAUUAGCGGAUGACUUGUGGCUAGGGGUGAAAGGCCAAUCAAACCUGGAGAUAGCUGGUUCUCCCCGAAAGCUAUUUAGGUAGCGCCUCGGACGAAUACUACUGGGGGUAGAGCACUGUUAAGGCUAGGGGGUCAUCCCGACUUACCAACCCUUUGCAAACUCCGAAUACCAGUAAGUACUAUCCGGGAGACACACGGCGGGUGCUAACGUCCGUCGUGGAGAGGGAAACAACCCAGACCGCCAGCUAAGGUCCCAAAUUACUACUAAGUGGGAAACGAUGUGGGAAGGCUCAGACAGCCAGGAUGUUGGCUUAGAAGCAGCCAUCAUUUAAAGAAAGCGUAAUAGCUCACUGGUCGAGUCGGCCUGCGCGGAAGAUGUAACGGGGCUAAGUAGUAAACCGAAGCUGCGGCAAUACUCUUUGAGUAUUGGGUAGGGGAGCGUUCUGUAAGCGGUUGAAGGUGUGUGGUAACGCAUGCUGGACGUAUCAGAAGUGCGAAUGCUGACAUGAGUAACGAUAAAGGGGGUGAAAAACCUCCUCGCCGGAAGACCAAGGGUUCCUGUCCAACGUUAAUCGGGGCAGGGUAAGUCGACCCCUAAGGCGAGGCCGAAAGGCGUAGUCGAUGGGAAACGGGUUAAUAUUCCCGUACUUCUUACAAUUGCGAUGGGGGGACGGAGAAGGCUAGGUGGGCCUGGCGACGGUUGUCCAGGUUCAAGUGCGUAGGCUUGAGAGUUAGGUAAAUCCGGCUCUCUUUAAGGCUGAGACACGACGUCGAGCACCUACGGGUGUGAAGUCAUUGAUGCCAUGCUUCCAGGAAAAGCCUCUAAGCUUCAGAUUGUAAGGAAUCGUACCCCAAACCGACACAGGUGGUCGGGUAGAGAAUACCAAGGCGCUUGAGAGAACUCGGGUGAAGGAACUAGGCAAAAUGGUACCGUAACUUCGGGAGAAGGUACGCUCUUGAUGGUGAAGUCCCUUGCGGAUGGAGCUGACGAGAGUCGCAGAUACCAGGUGGCUGCAACUGUUUAUUAAAAACACAGCACUGUGCAAAAUCGUAAGAUGACGUAUACGGUGUGACGCCUGCCCGGUGCCGGAAGGUUAAUUGAUGGGGUUAGACUUCGGUCGAAGCUCUUGAUCGAAGCCCCGGUAAACGGCGGCCGUAACUAUAACGGUCCUAAGGUAGCGAAAUUCCUUGUCGGGUAAGUUCCGACCUGCACGAAUGGCGUAAUGAUGGCCACGCUGUCUCCACCCGAGACUCAGUGAAAUUGAAAUCGCUGUGAAGAUGCAGUGUACCCGCGGCUAGACGGAAAGACCCCGUGAACCUUUACUACAGCUUGGCACUGAACAUUGACCCUACAUGUGUAGGAUAGGUGGGAGGCUUUGAAGCACGUACGCCAGUAUGUGUGGAGCCGUCCUUGAAAUACCACCCUUGUAGUGUUGAUGUUCUAACGUCGACCCCUUAUCGGGGUUGCGGACAGUGCCUGGUGGGUAGUUUGACUGGGGCGGUCUCCUCCCAAAGAGUAACGGAGGAGCACGAAGGUGGGCUAAUCACGGUUGGACAUCGUGAGGUUAGUGCAAUGGCAUAAGCCCGCUUGACUGCGAGAAUGACAAUUCGAGCAGGUGCGAAAGCAGGUCAUAGUGAUCCGGUGGUUCUGAAUGGAAGGGCCAUCGCUCAACGGAUAAAAGGUACUCCGGGGAUAACAGGCUGAUACCGCCCAAGAGUUCAUAUCGACGGCGGUGUUUGGCACCUCGAUGUCGGCUCAUCACAUCCUGGGGCUGAAGUCGGUCCCAAGGGUAUGGCUGUUCGCCAUUUAAAGUGGUACGCGAGCUGGGUUUAGAACGUCGUGAGACAGUUCGGUCCCUAUCUGCCGUGGGCGUUGGAAGAUUGAAGGGGGCUGCUCCUAGUACGAGAGGACCGGAGUGGACGAACCUCUGGUGUUCGGGUUGUGUCGCCAGACGCAUUGCCCGGUAGCUAAGUUCGGAAUCGAUAACCGCUGAAAGCAUCUAAGCGGGAAGCGAGCCCUGAGAUGAGUCUUCCCUGAUACUUUAAGUAUCCUAAAGGGUUGUCGGAGACUACGACGUUGAUAGGUCAGGUGUGUAAGUGCUGUGAGGCAUUGAGCUAACUGAUACUAAUUGCCCGUGAGGCUUAACCAUACAACAC
rnacentral:rRNA from 1 species